CGUGCCUAAUACAUGCAAGUCGAGCGAAUGGAUUAAGAGCUUGCUCUUAUGAAGUUAGCGGCGGACGGGUGAGUAACACGUGGGUAACCUGCCCAUAAGACUGGGAUAACUCCGGGAAACCGGGGCUAAUACCGGGUAGGACCACUGCCUGCAUGGGUGGUGGUGGAAAGCUUUUGCGGUGUGGGAUGGGCCCGCGGCCUAUCAGCUUGUUGGUGGGGUGAUGGCCUACCAAGGCGACGACGGGUAGCCGGCCUGAGGGGGUGACCGGCCACACUGGGACUGAGAUACGGCCCAGACUCCUACGGGAGGCAGCGGUGGGGAAUAUUGCACAGUAGGCGCAAGCCUGAUCCAGCCAUGCCGCGUGAGUGAUGAAGGCCUUAGGGUUGUAAAGCUCUUUCGUCCGGGACGAUAAUGACGGUACCGGAAGAAGAAGCCCCGGCUAACUUCGUGCCAGCCGCCGCGGUAA
rnacentral:rRNA from 1 species